UGGGGAAUAUUGCACAAUGGGCGCAAGCCUGAUGCAGCAACGCCGCGUGAACGAUGAAGGUCUUCGGAUCGUAAAGUCCUGUUGCAGGGGAAGAUAAUGACGGUACCCUGUGAGGAAGCCCCGGCUAACUACGUGCCAGCAGCCGCGGUAAUACGUAGGGUGCAAGCGUUAUCCGGAAUUAUUGGGCGUAAAGAGCUUGUAGGCGGUUCGUCGCGUAUGGUGUGAAAGCCCAUCGCUUAACGGUGGGUUUGAGCCGGGUACGGGCGGGCUAGAGUGAAGUAGGAGAGACUGGAAUGCCCGGUGUAACGGUGGAGUGUGUAGAUAUCGAGAAGAACACCAAUGGCGAAGGCAGGUCUCUGAGCAGUUACUGACGCUGAGAAGCGAAAGCGUGGGGAGCGAACGGG
rnacentral:rRNA from 1 species